UACCAGCACCCCGAGUGGUCGGGACGAUUAUUGGGCCUAAAGCAUCCGUAGCCGGUCCUGCAAGUCUUCCGUUAAAUCCAGCUGCUCAACAGAUGGGCUGCGGGGGAUAUCUCAGGGCUAGGAGGCGGGAGAGGCAAGCGGUACUUUAUGGGUAGGGGUAAAAUCCGUUGAUCCAUAGAAGACCACCAGUGGCGAAGGCGGCUUGCCAGAACGCGCUCGACGGUGAGGGAUGAAAGCUGGGGGAGCAAACCGG
rnacentral:rRNA from 1 species